GGACUACUGGGGUAUCUAAUCCCGUUUGCUCCCCUGGCUUUCGUGCCUCAGCGUCAGGAAAUGUCCAGAGACUCGCCUUCGCCACUGGUGUUCCACUUGAUAUCUACGCAUUUCACUGCUACACCAAGUAUUCCAGUCUCCCCUCCAUUCCUCGAGUGAGAUAGUAUCCAACGCAGUUUCCGGGUUGAGCCCGGAGAUUUCACGUCAGACUUACCUCACCGCCUACGCACCCUUUACGCCCAGUGAAUCCGAACAACGCUUGGGACCUCUGUAUUACCGCGGCUGCUGGCAC
rnacentral:rRNA from 1 species